UAAGAGGCCAAGGUUACGUUUCUCAGUGGCGUGGAAAACGCCAUAAAAAAAAAACAGCGCGGCGAGUGAAAGGACGUGGUGCCAAGAACCUGGACAUCUGCAGAGUUAAAUGCACUCCGGUUUUAUCGCCCGUGGAAUAUUUCAUGUUAAAAAUGAUCGGUUUCCAAACGAUGGCGCAGCGUCGGAACGAAUUCGUAAAGCCGCACGGACUGCUAAUGUUAGCAGCAAUCCUGACCGCAGGAAAUGUUGUUUUGCGGUUGAUAAUUCGACAGGACACAUCCCGUGUGCGUCUUGCACUUUUGUGAAUUAGGUAACAGUUGCUAAUCAGUGCGGUAAUCAGAAAGCAUGAAACGACAACAUGAUUUUGCCGGUAAACCUACAACAAUAUUGUUUUUGUGUUACACUCUGAGUGGUCCAGUCCGUUGAACUAAUAUUUGCAGUACUAUCUGAAAAUUUACAAGGACAAUUGAGAUAAAAAAUUAUUUAGAAAUUUUACAUUAGUUGUUUGCGUAUUUAAAACGUAUGAAUGUUGUGAAAUCUAUAAAUAAUAUAGUGAAGAAAGUUCAAGGCUUUGUGUGGAGCAUCUUAAGGAAUUAGUUUUUCCUUUUUAACACAAAACAGUCUAAAAGACACUUACCCAAAAUAUUUUAUAAACUAAGAAUAAAGAAAAAUGAAAAAAAGAAAUUAAAGUAUUUUUUUAAUUAA